GUACCCUCAAGCUUUGCUUGGUGUUGGGCGUUUUGUCUUUUUAUCAAGACUCGCCUUAAAGUAAUUGGCAGCCAGUGUUUUGGUAGUAAGCGCAGCACAUUUUGCGUCUUAGUCCCUUGACAGUGGCAUCCACAAAGCCUCUUUCUCAC
rnacentral:misc_RNA from 2 species